UACAGAGGUCUCAAGCGUUGUUCGGAUUCAUUGGGCGUAAAGGGUGCGUAGGCGGCGCGGUAAGUCGGGUGUGAAAUCUCGGGGCUUAACUCCGAAACUGCAUUCGAUACUGCCGUGCUUGAGGACUGGAGAGGAGACUGGAAUUUACGGUGUAGCGGUGAAAUGCGUAGAUAUCGAUAAGGAAGACCAGUGGCGAAGGCGGGUCUCUGGGACGAAACACUGGACGCUGAGACACGAAAGCGUGGGGAGCAAACAGG
rnacentral:rRNA from 1 species